rnacentral:rRNA from 1 species
AGAGUUUGAUCAUGGCUCAGGACGAACGCUGGCGGCGUGCUUAACACAUGCAAGUCGAACGGUGAACCUGCUUCGGUGGGGGAUCAGUGGCGAACGGGUGAGUAACACGUGGGCAACCUGCCCCUGGCUCUGGGAUAACUCCAAGAAAUUGGGGCUAAUACCGGAUGUGACCGCUGACCGCAUGGUCUGGUGGUGGAAAGAUUUAUCGGCUGGGGAUGGGCCCGCGGCCUAUCAGCUUGUUGGUGGGGUAGUGGCCUACCAAGGCGACGACGGGUAGCCGGCCUGAGAGGGUGACCGGCCACACUGGGACUGAGACACGGCCCAGACUCCUACGGGAGGCAGCAGUGGGGAAUAUUGCGCAAUGGGCGAAAGCCUGACGCAGCGACGCCGCGUGGGGGAUGACGGCCUUCGGGUUGUAAACCUCUUUCAGCAGGGACGAAGCGCAAGUGACGGUACCUGCAGAAGAAGCACCGGCCAACUACGUGCCAGCAGCCGCGGUAAUACGUAGGGUGCAAGCGUUGUCCGGAAUUAUUGGGCGUAAAGAGCUCGUAGGCGGUCUGUCGCGUCGGCUGUGAAAUCCCGAGGCUCAACCUCGGGUCUGCAGUCGAUACGGGCAAACUAGAGUGUUGCAGGGGAGACUGGAAUUCCUGGUGUAGCGGUGAAAUGCGCAGAUAUCAGGAGGAACACCGGUGGCGAAGGCGGGUCUCUGGGCAACAACUGACGCUGAGGAGCGAAAGCGUGGGGAGCGAACAGGAUUAGAUACCCUAGUAGUCC